AGCAAUAAACCAAAUGAACCAAGAGAUGUCCCCAGAUAAAUGUGUUCAGGAACAGCAGCAACUUCCUUUUGCCUCACCAAAGUGACUUAAGCCUCCAGCAGUAGUCUUUUGUGAGUCCCUGGCUGAAACUAAGACAUAACUAAUCUUCCCUCCGUUUGCAGAUGAAACGAUCUGCACUGCUACAUCAUUGAGCUUCCUGACUUCCUCUUCAUGUCCUACGGAAAGCUCCCUUUUGGAAGAAAGAAUGGAGGAACUGAGAGUCUGGAGACUGAAAUGAUCCUGGAUUAAGAGUGAUAAUUGGGCUCCAGAGUGGCUCUUGUAAACAAAAGCAAUGACAAGGUUGACAUAUUUUGGGAAGGCAU
rnacentral:lncRNA from 1 species